rnacentral:lncRNA from 1 species
GUCGGGACAGUCUUCAUACACUUCCCUUAGUCUAGACGGUCAUCACCUUGUGAUGACAUCUAUUUGCCAAAUGAUUCUAGUUGCCAUCUUGUCAAGAAAGUGUGUGACAAGUGUGACCACAAACAUUUCACAGCCACACUGAAACCCAAGUGCCUUUUUUUUUCUUUUCAAUACUUUUGAGAUUAAAAUAUAAGUCCAUCAUUUCCAUCCUCCCUUUUCUUCCUCCAACUCUUUGCACAAGCCCAUCUCUCUGUCUCUGUCUCUCUCUGUCUCAAGUUCAUAGCCCUUAUUUCUUUCAUUGUUAUUGCAUAGAUAUACGUGGAUGAAUUACUAAAUAUAUAAAUAUAGCCUUCUAAGUCUGUAUAAUGUAACUUGUAUGUAUGUUUUCAAGGAUGGCUGUUUAGUAUUGGAUAACUAAUUAGUCUGCUUGUCCCUGGGGAAGACUGUGUUUCCCACUCUCAGCCUUCCUUAGUUGUCUGCAGUUUUUUGUCUAAGGUUGGGGUCUCAUGAGAUUUCCCCCUUCCAUGUUAGUGUUUCUGUUGAUAUCAUUCUUGUUCGGGUCUUAUACUAGGAAGCCAUGUUGAUGAGACUUCUGGAAUUUCCAGGAGAUGGGAUCUCACAGCACACUUCCUGCUGUGCAGGUUCUUACAGUCCUUCUGCCUCCUCCCAGCUGUGAUCCCAAAUCCCUGAUCCCUGAGACGUGUUUUUGAUGUUCUGUUCUCACAAUGUGCAUCUACAACAAGAAAACUGAGACUGGGCCUAUAUUUUUAGUUGAGCAGUCUAAGGAAGGAAGAAGGAAGAAGUGUCUUAAUGUCUGGAAUCCAUCCAUCCAUUCAUUCAUUGGCUAUGUUAUCAAAGUAGCAUGCUGCUUACAGGUAACUCAGCCACUCAAACAAACAGUUUGAAAUGUGCAUGUCCUUUUAUGCACCCCCAGACGAUGGCUCUAUGCCUAUGUGUCUCCUAAAAAGUAGGGGAACUUCUUAGGGGAUUCUAGUGGAAGAAUGGCCUAGGCCAUUAGGAAGAUGCCCUCAAGAGAGAUUUGAAGACCCUAGCCCUUUCUUCUUGUUCUUUUUUGUUUCCCAAGGGCUAUAAGACAAACAGCUUUCUUUGCCACUGGUCUCUACCAUGAUACAUUGUUUUAUCACAGACUCAAAAGCAAUGGGAAGCUAACCAUAGGUUGAAAUUCCCAAAACCAUGAAACAAAAUAAACCUUCUCCCUUUUCAAGUUGAUUGUCUCAGGUAUUUUGUUAUAGCACUAGAAAGCUGAAAUACUGAUAAGCUUGAAAUACUGAUAAGCUCACUUUCUGUCAGAGUAUAUGUUCCAUCAGCUGUGGAUCAGGGUCAAAUUCUCAAAUGGACUGAGUCUUACAGCCUUCACAAAGCAUCUGAUCUCCAGUAGUUAAACAGUGUAGAUCAGUUAGAUACUGGUUCCUUUUCCUUCCUUCCUUCCUUCCUUCCUUCCUUCCUUCCUUCCUUCCUUCCUUCCGUCUUUCCAUCUUUCCUUCCUUCCUUCUUUUCUUCCUUUGUUUAUCUCAAUGGUGUCCCUUGGUGGACUCCUCCUGGGGGAUUAGGAAACAUCCCAGAGACCUGAAGUAGAGGCUCAUUAGGUCCAUUCCUAAGAAGGUGUGUUAGCCUCACUGUACUUCCCUAGAAAUCACCACAGCCUUUGUGGCAUAGAAAAAUAAGCAUAUCUCUUCAUAAUUCUGUAUGCCAGAAUUAUGGAAAUCAAGACGCCCCAAGAAUUCCUUCUUUCCUUUUUCCUUCCUACAGAAGAAGACUAUCCCCCACUGCCUCUGUCCUAGCUUCUGGCCACCACUGGCAAUCCUAUCGUACCUUGGCUCAAAGCACCAGGUCACCUGUCUCUGCAUCCAUUGCUCUGUUUUGGGAAGUUUCCCUAUGCUUAUUUGUCUCCUAAACUUUGUGCUUUGUGAACCUGCACCCAAAUUUCCUCAUUAUUCCAAGAACACAAAUCCUGUUGGACACAGGUCUCACCUAACCUAGUAUGCUCUUGUCUUGAGUAACUACAUCUGCAAAAACUCUGCUUCCAGAGUCAUGCUCAGAGGUUCCAUGUGGGCAUGACAUAAUUUGGGGGUAGGAGAGGGGCAUUGGGGAUUAUGUCAUGUUUGUUUAUAAAAGCAGCUCAUAAAACCUGCUCACUUUGAUGAUAUUUUCAUGCCAUAGAAAUCCAAAUGAAAACAAUCCAAUGAACCUGUGCAGACAUAAAGGUUGUUUAUUUUUAUUUGAUACAUCUGGGUUUUUGCUGCAUGUACACGUGCAUACCACGUGCAUGCAGACAUUGGAUUCCCCUAGAACUGCAAUUACAGAGAGUUUUGAACCACCAGAGUUCACAGAACUCUGUGAACACACGGAGUUUUGUGUGUGUGUGUGCUGGGAACCAAACUCUGGUCCCCUGUAAGUGCAGUAAGAGCCCUAUCUCUGAGGCAUCUCUCCAGCCCCUGUGGAUUUUGUUUUGUAGCCUGAUUGAGCCCAAUAAAUAACUAGUGCACACUAUUCUUUUUCUGUUCCUUUAUAAAAAUUUCAAUUUAUAGCAAUGAACAUUACAGGCUUUCUAAUGCUGUUUUGUUUUUAAAAGUGGACAAGCACAUUCAAGACAUGGUCUCAUUUGUGUACAGAGUAAACAUAGAGAUGUCCAUAGGAAUAAGGCAUAUUCAGUGAUAAGCUAAGGUUGAACUUGACUCUAUUGAAGGCCCUGUUCCCAGUGCUUCUGGUAUUUUGAUCCUUACUACAGUCCUGUAAUGGUCUUAUUUUCCCCAAUAUUGCUACUUCCAACAGAGUUGGCUGGUCUGCUACAUCUUUACUUAGUGUGGCAAUAGUGUCUUCACAAAUCAGGAAAAAAAGAGUUUCAUGUGAAUUUUUUUUUUUUCGAGAUAGGGUUUCUCUGUGUAGCCCUGGCUGUCCUGGAACUCACUUUGUAGACCAGGCUGGCCUCGAACUCAGAAAUCCGCCUUCCUCUGUCUCCCGAGUGCUGGAAUUAAAGGCAUGCACCACCAGGCCCGGCUGUCAUGUGAAUUUUUAAUAUAUUAGUAUACUUAUUACUAAUAAUAUUUAAUAUAACAAAGUAGAAACAAAAGCAUAUACAUUUUUAAAUAAACCGUGUGGUUUUUAUGUUAUUGUAUUUUGGGUUUUGACCAAAUCCAGGUAUUGACUGAAUAGAAACUAUUUUCUUUGAGAAGGUACUCAAAGGGGCUGGAGAGAUGGCUCAGCAGUUGAGAUCACCGUAUCCUCUGGUUGUUCUGCCAGAGGAUAUGGGUUUGAUGCCCAGUACCCAUACAGUGACUCAUAAUCAUCUGUAACUCCGCCCCAGAAGAUCCAACACCUUCUUCUAACCUCCAAGGUACCAGGUACAAAUGUGUUGUACAGACAUGCAUGCAGGCAACACACACACAAAUAAAAUGAUUUCCUGUUUGAAGAAGAAGAAGAGGAAGUGGAAGAGGAGUAGGAAGAAGAAGGCAGCCCUCUGGUCUUGAGGUCAUAUUUCUGUCCUUUGAUUCUUUCAGGUUUCCUCCAUUUUGUACUCAGGUUGUUGUAAGGGAAGGGUUAAGAGACACACAGCUCUUCCUGGGGAACAGAGAACAUCUCUUCCAAGAGCUGCAGCUCCCAGCUCCCUCCAUCUCCUCACUGGGGGCGAAUAGAAACCAGGAGAUUUAGGUGGCACAUCAUCCGAACAAGAACUGGAAAUGUUUGAAGAGAUAAAUGUGAUUUGCCAUUGAGCACAUAAGAGCAGCCAUGGACUUGUAGCUGCAGAUGUGCCCCUAACAUCUGUAUGGCCUUUAGAGCGUCAGAAAAACCUUUCCUAGUAGUUCUAGUUGGAGAUGGCCAUGGCCAUGUUUCACCUUCUCAAGUAUAGCUUUUAAUUUUCAUUAUUUCAGAUUAUGAUCCAUCUUCAAGAGUAUUUCUUAAGAGCUGAAGCAAGCCCUGGAGACAAGACUAAAUCUAUACAUUGUGAAGUCAAUCUGGGUUCUCGUGUAUGGGGGUGUGAGAGAUCGCUUCACGUGAGACAUUUUUUUUCCUUCUUGAUCUAUUGGCUAAGAAGCCCAAGGAACAAAAAGAGCAUACUCCCAUCACUUCACUGUUAUCAGGGUUAGUUUUAAGUUUCUGUCUUUGCAGCGUUUUCUUCUCAUAUAGCUGAUUUUCUCACCAUUCUGCUGCAGAAUAUGAGACAGGCACCGGGCAAAAGAGAUAAAGCUUUCCAUAAGAGCCUGCUGCUCUUUGGUGUGGAAAUUCAGGGUUUGCGCUUCUUUUGAGUUUUGUUUUCUCACGUCCGUGUUUCUUUCUUUUACUUUUAAUUUAGCAGCCAAGAAUGUAAGAGUUAAGGCUGAUAAACCUGUGCUAAGAUUUUCUCACCCACCCAAGUGCGGGAGAAAACAUGAGUCCAGAAUA